CGAGUGAAGACACCGAGGAACUGGAUGUCGAGUGGGUGGCGCCAGACAUUAACGACGUCAUCGUUUUCAGAGCGUCUUUCGUGAAGACCUUCCCUGAGUUCUGGGUAGGUGUCGAGUCAGAAACUGUCACGGUCGGGACCGUGCAGAAGGCUUUCCACAACAUUGCUGCAUGAAGAUCGGAAAUGUAUUGUGACAGUGACGAGAAUGUCGCGUAAACACAUUCUUUCCAAGGCAAC